rnacentral:rRNA from 1 species
UGGCGGACGGGUGAGUAAUGUCUGGGAAACUGCCUGAUGGAGGGGGAUAACUACUGGAAACGGUAGCUAAUACCGCAUAACGUCGCAAGACCAAAGAGGGGGACCUUCGGGCCUCUUGCCAUCGGAUGUGCCCAGAUGGGAUUAGCUAGUAGGUGGGGUAACGGCUCACCUAGGCGACGAUCCCUAGCUGGUCUGAGAGGAUGACCAGCCACACUGGAACUGAGACACGGUCCAGACUCCUACGGGAGGCAGCAGUGGGGAAUAUUGCACAAUGGGCGCAAGCCUGAUGCAGCCAUGCCGCGUGUAUGAAGAAGGCCUUCGGGUUGUAAAGUACUUUCAGCGGGGAGGAAGGGAGUAAAGUUAAUACCUUUGCUCAUUGACGUUACCCGCAGAAGAAGCACCGGCUAACUCCGUGCCAGCAGCCGCGGUAAUACGGAGGGUGCAAGCGUUAAUCGGAAUUACUGGGCGUAAAGCGCACGCAGGCGGUUUGUUAAGUCAGAUGUGAAAUCCCC